rnacentral:rRNA from 1 species
GAUGAACGCUAGCGGCAGGCUUAACACAUGCAAGUCGAGGGGUAGAGGUUGCUUGCAACCUUGAGACCGGCGCACGGGUGCGUAACGCGUAUGCAACCUACCUUUUACAGAGGGAUAGCCCAGAGAAAUUUGGAUUAAUACCUCAUAGUAUAUAACCUUCGCAUGUUGGUUAUAUUAAAGUUCCAACGGUAAAAGAUGGGCCUGCGUCCUAUUAGCUAGAUGGUAACGUAACGGCUUACCAUGGCAACGAUAGGUAGGGGUCCUGAGAGGGAGAUCCCCCACACUGGUACUGAGACACGGACCAGACUCCUACGGGAGGCAGCAGUGAGGAAUAUUGGACAAUGGGCGCAAGCCUGAUCCAGCCAUGCCGCGUGCAGGAAGAAGCAUCUAUGGUGUGUAAACUGCUUUUGUACAGGAAGAAACACCCCGACGUGUCGGGGCUUGACGGUGCUGUAAGAAUAAGGAUCGGCUAACUCCGUGCCAGCCGCCGCGGUAA